UACCAGCACCCCGAGUGGUCGGGACGAUUAUUGGGCCUAAAGCAUCCGUAGCCGGCCUUACAAGUCCUCCGUUAAAUCCAGCUGCUUAACAGAUGGGCUGCGGAGGAUACUAUAAGACUAGGAGGCAGGAGAGGCAAGCGGUACUCAGUGGGUAGGGGUAAAAUCCGUUGAUCCAUUGAAGACCACCAGUGGCGAAGGCGGCUCACUGGCCCGAUACUGACGCUGAGGCAACGAAAGCGUGGGGGAGCAAACAGG
rnacentral:rRNA from 1 species